ACGGCUGGCAUUUGUCUAUGAGUUGUGGUGGCUUUCUCAGCUCCGCUUCGCCGGCUUACGAUUCCGUGCCGCGCUCUUUCGGUGUCGAUGGCGGCUCUUCACCGGGGUUAUCCCGGGUUCUUUGAUUGACGUUUCUGUUCUUAACUUUCGCAAUCGACUCUUCUUCCUCGGCCUCGUCUGUCUCUUCCGUCCUCGUCAAGAGCUGCUUCAUCUUCGGGCUUACUCAGAUUUUAAAAGAUGUCUGAUUUGCAUGUAGGAAGAUUGAUGGUUGAGGGACGAUUGAAGACGAUUGAUUUUGGUGGAAACGUUGGUCCGGUGAGGGACUUGAGUAACCGUGAAGAUGUCUUUGUUUGAGCAUAUUUCUUCAACGGCUUCGGUUCCGCUGACGGCGGAGAUCUGUCGCCUCUCCUCUGUUUCGCCGGUGGAAGAUGGUUGACUCUCGCCUUGACACGUGUUUCAGGAUGCAGGGCGUUCGUACACGCGGUGGACAGCUGUCACAUCUUUUCUGAACGGGUUUCUUUUGGGCUUAUGGCCCAAAUGGUUUUGUAUAGUGUUUGUCCGUUUUGUUGGGCCUUUUGUUUCUUAUGUUAGACUAAGGUUUUGUUGGUUGGUGCAGAUGUGGGGCGUAUUGGAAUAGGCAUCUGCUAUGAUAUCCGGUUCCAGGAGUUAGCUAUGAUAUAUGCUGCAAGAGAUGCUCAAUUUGCUGUGCUACCCAGGAGCCUUUAACAUGACAACUGGUGUACUCUUCACUGGGAAUUAUUACAAAGAGCAAGGGCUACAGAUAAUCAGUUAUAUGUAGCGACAUGCUCACCUGCCAGAGAUUCAGGAGCUGGCUACACUGCUUGGGGACACUCUACACUCGUCGGACCU